UCAUGACUAUUCUGAAAAUUAAAAAUAGAAGGCGGGGAGAAGAGAGCAAGUGAGCAAAUGGUCUCUGCCACCAAGUAAUAGUGUGCUUUCUUGCAGAUAUGCCUCACCUUUCAGGAUUUGCUUUUCAAGCUCUUUAUUGAAAUCGCUCAGGUCUUUAACUGAUCUCCCCUGGGGACUGAAAAGCCUUAAGCUAAUUAAGCACGGCUGAGACAUGCUUGAUGAGAUGGGAAAAACAUGAAGCUUUUGAAAGGGUGAAAAAAUCUCUGGCCAUCUGCUAGUGGUGUUGCAAAGAGAACAAAGAGGAAGAAUAAACGGGACAGCUAGCCGGAGUGAAAAGUUGCAGGAGCUACUGCUGAUUCUCUGGAGAUUUAUGCUAAAACCAAAGACUGGUAAUCUUCAACACAAUGUGAAAUAUGGAUUCCAUUAUCUACCCAAUUUUUUAUGUUAAAAGGUUCUUCAGCAAAGCCAUAGAAUAUGUAGCAGAAUUACUGGGGGACGAUGG